rnacentral:rRNA from 1 species
AUUGAACGCUGGCGGCAUGCCUUACACAUGCAAGUCGAACGGUAACGCGGGGCAACCUGGCGACGAGUGGCGAGCGGGUGAGUAAUGUAUCGGAACGUGCCCAGUUGUGGGGGAUAACUGCUCGAAAGAGCAGCUAAUACCGCAUACGACCUGAGGGUGAAAGCGGGGGAUCGCAAAACCCCGCGCAAUUGGAGCGGCCGAUAUCAGAUUAGGUAGUUGGUGGGGUAAAGGCACACCAAGCCAACGAUCUGUAACUGGUCUGAGAGGACGACCAGACACACUGGGACUGAGACACGGCCCAGACUCCUACGGGAGGCAGCAGUGGGGAAUUUUGGACAAUGGACGCAAGUCUGAUCCAGCCAUGCCGCGUGCGGGAAGAAGGCCUUCGGGUUGUAAACCGCUUUUGUCAGGGAAGAAACGCUCUGGGUUAAUACCUCGGGGUAAUGACGGUACCUGAAGAAUAAGCACCGGCUAACUACGUGCCAGCCGCCGCUGUAAAAC